CUUGGUUACAACCAGACCUCCUGUUUGCUUCUGUGGUUUCUCUCCUUCAGCAAGUAGUCCUGAAACACACACAUCACUAGCAUCAGUGGUGGGUACAAAUGCGUUACAAAAAAUGCAUGUAGGUUAAGAAAAAUCAAAUGAACAAAAUCU